rnacentral:lncRNA from 1 species
GCUACACGCUCCAGGCUGGGGCCCGGCCCUCCCGGCCUUAGUUUCUUCCCUUCCCUCAGUGGCCUGGACCAGGGCGGAGGGGUGGAAACGACCUACCCCAGAGACGGAGGGAAGACUAGGAUGAUACCUGGACGGCAGAGACAGCAGUGAUCCAGUUCCAGUCCCACUUCCUCAACUGCCGGCUGGUGGUUUCCACCUGCAUGUGCUCAUCUCUUUACUCAUGCCCUAAGGACUCAACACCAGUGCCUGAUAGGAUCUACUGAGGAUGCUGAAACUCACUUGAUAGAUGUUCAAGCUCCCCACGCCUUCUCCAGCUGGUGGUCAGUAUUCUUAGGUCCAGCAUACCACCCACCAAGCAUCCUUGCCCGACUGACUAAGUGUUUUGUACCUGGACAAUUCAAAAGGGAAUGCGGAGGUUGCUCUAGCCUGUAUCUCCUCCUCUGGGCAGACCCAUAUCUCUGGGAUUCCACCAGCUCUUCUGACUAUGCCUCCUGUGUUCCCCACUCCCCGCUGUCAGGAAGCCCUUCCUUUUGCCCACUUUACAUCACUCACAUUGACGUUUGACCUCCACAUGGAAUUCCAAUGUGCCCCCGUUUUGUGACCAGGACUAGGCCCCCUUGACAUCUACGAGCUCAUGUGUACAUGGGGUAACUCUGAUAAAGCCAGCAUUAUUAUGCUUCUGCU